rnacentral:rRNA from 1 species
UACGUAGGGGGCAAGCGUUGUCCGGAUUUAUUGGGCGUAAAGCGCGUGUAGGCGGCCAUGCAGGUCCGUUGUGAAAACUCGAGGCUCAACCUCGAGACGUCGAUGGAAACCGCAUGGCUAGAGUCCGGAAGAGGAGAGCGGAAUUCCUGGUGUAGCGGUGAAAUGCGCAGAUAUCAGGAAGAACACCCGUGGCGAAGGCGGCUCUCUGGGACGGUACUGACGCUGAGACGCGAAAGCGUGGGGAGCGAACAGG